rnacentral:rRNA from 1 species
AUUGAACGCUGGCGGCAGGCCUAACACAUGCAAGUCGAGCGGAUGAGUGGAGCUUGCUCCACGAUUCAGCGGCGGACGGGUGAGUAAUGCCUAGGAAUCUGCCUGGUAGUGGGGGACAACGUUUCGAAAGGAACGCUAAUACCGCAUACGUCCUACGGGAGAAAGCAGGGGACCUUCGGGCCUUGCGCUAUCAGAUGAGCCUAGGUCGGAUUAGCUAGUUGGUGAGGUAAUGGCUCACCAAGGCGACGAUCCGUAACUGGUCUGAGAGGAUGAUCAGUCACACUGGAACUGGGACACGGUCCAGACUCCUACGGGAGGCAGCAGUGGGGAAUAUUGGACAAUGGGCGAAAGCCUGAUCCAGCCAUGCCGCGUGUGUGAAGAAGGUCUUCGGAUUGUAAAGCACUUUAAGUUGGGAGGAAGGGUUGUAGGUUAAUACCCUGCAAUUUUGACGUUACCGACAGAAUAAGCACCGGCUAACUUCGUGCCAGCCGCCGCCGUAACAC